CUUUCUCUCUCUCUCAGAUCACUGGCUCCAAGGGAAGCCAACUGCCAUGUUUUGAGGGCACUCAAGCAGCCUACGGAGAGGCUCAAGUUGUAAGAAAUUGGGGUGUCUGGCCAGCGGCUGGUGAGAAGCAGUAGGCUGCCUAUUACCAUGUGGCGAUUCAUCUGACUGAUAACUUUCAAAAGAAAGAACUGGGCAUGCAGAGCCAGCCCAAUCGUCUUCCCUCUUGAGAGCUCUCGACUCCCGGCUGCCAACGUUCUCCAUCGCUCCUGGCUGCAGGUUCUCCCCCAAAACCAGUGCCCUCACACAUGCCGUGUGACUGGGUGGGUAAGGCUGACGAAUCUGGGGUUCAUCCACCAGGCCCAUUGGCCCUUACAACUAAGCCUUCAUCAGUUUUUUUUCUAAGCAGCAGCUUGAUUUUCCAUAUAUUUAACUCUUCAUCUUAUUCCUCAACUUGUUUUGAACCUGCCAAGGAAGAAGGGGGUUAUAGCCCCACCAGGGAAGCCAACACUUCUGUCAAAAUUCUAGUAAGGGAAAGGAUUUGGUCUGAAAUGUUCAAAGGAAGCCUCAGGGGAUACUGGGCACUCAGAGGCUCACAAAUUAACCGGUUAAGAGGACAUCAGCUUCACUAGGAGUCAGCGGUGACUGUCGUGUGCAGACCAGGACUGAGGCUCUGACCUGCCUGGGAUCCCCAGCCAUCGACCUCGUCGAUCCAACCAUCCACGUGGUCACAGCUGAUGACCCAGCAUCACUGGAAGCAGCUAAUUCUCCUGACGUAUCAUCGAAGCUCAGAUAUCCUAGAAGCCUGUGCUGACAUUGAGACUCUAGCAGCGUAGGUCACAGAAUCUGAUUGCAAAACCUAGAGCCCCUGCCACCUCCUUGGACCCUGUUGGAUCACAAGCAAAAAAUAAAUAUGCAUUGUUAUUAAGCCACUGAAAUUCUGGGAUUGUCUGUGCUUGAAGCAUAACCCAGCCAAUCUUGAGGGAAACAAAUGAUUAGCUCAAUGUAAAACAGACAAGGCAGCUCAUAAAUCCACUCACCUGGAUGAACAAAGAGAUGUCUUAAUAGGCUGAAAGCAACUACAGAAGGUCUUGCCCAUCUCUCUGUGUUCUGGAAUUCCCACUUUCCCUGGGACACCGUAGAUGUCGUAUGUGACAUGAGACCUGCUGGCACAUCCAUGGAACAAAGGUCUCCGAGUCAAUGCAUAUUUACCUCUCUGACCUCAGAUUCCUCCCAUGCUUCAUCACAUUUCUGCUUGAUAAUUAAGACAAAUAAUCUCUGUCAAAAGAGUAAACUUCCUCUUAGCUUGUGUGUCUAAUGGCAGACACUCUCAAAGGAGCCAGGCUGCUGUUUCAACUUUCAGGUCAGUGGAGCCAUUUUUGUUUCCCUUGGAAAGCAAGGUCUUUAGAGUAGCAUAGGCCAAGUCACGAGAAGAGAGGUGACAAGGACAAAAAGUGCCAGUUGGUCAUAAGGUGUUAAAAAAUGCCACCUCUGAUUUGGCCAGUGGGGAGAUCCUCAUGGUUGAGCCCACGGAGAGCUGCUAUCCCUGCUAACACGGUCACUCGGUCCUGGACUCAGUGAACAGGAACCAGAGGAGGUAAAGACAGAAGCUAACAUCUACAGGACAAGCCAUCUUCUCCACUUGGUUUUUAAGAGCUGCCUCUUCAGGGAGAGCCCUCUGGUGAGCACUUCCCUGAGUGACUAAUGUUCUCACAUCCUGGGCCCAUUCCUAGAUAUCCUGUCCUGUACCCUUCCCCAAGCUUACCUGUCUCCAAA